rnacentral:lncRNA from 12 species
GGGAUCAUGGGCAUUGCCUGGGGUACACAACUUGUCACACCACAGACCUUCCUGUGCCUUUACCAGAUAAACUCUCUGACAACCAGUGAAACUGAAAUGGAAACCAAGCCUCUACAGCCAUGUUGGCAGGAAUGCUGCAGCAGGAUACUGGAGAACAGAGUGCUCACAAUGGGUAACCAGAUAAGGCCAAAGCCACCUUUUAUCCUGUUCCACUCUUGUGCUCAAGUGAAGCAGCAGAACAAUCAAAAGUGAAGCCCUGCUACUGUUGACAUGUCCCAC